UGCAGCUAUAACCUUAAAAGAAAAAUGUUGAUAGCAACGAACAUCAAGAAACAAGAUAGAAAAGACAAUAUGCGUAUGCAGCUGGGAGUAAAAAUGGAAAUGGAAAUGGAAAUAUGAUUUGUCCUCUGCAGUUACAAGAUUUACUAUCUUGUCAUGUUCUUACAAUUAAAAUUAAUUUGCCCUCCGUUUUUGUUCAUUAUACAGUAGCAAGUUAAAUUCAAAAUUCUCUGAAUAUGCUUGCAACAAAUAAAAUUUGAUAGCCAAUAGUUGAUAAGAAUACAAUAAGUGUGGCACAAGUGGGCAUUAAAUCAUUCCAAGCGAUUCUUACGAUUGUUUAUCUUAGCCAGAUUAGUUUCAAAAGAAAAAAAAAAUAUAUACUAAAAUAGUUGAAAAUUCCAAAUUGCAGUAAAAAUGUAAAAUAA
rnacentral:misc_RNA from 1 species